ACGAGGAGGUUCAGACCUUGCCCCGUGGACGGGGCGGAUCCUGCUGGCGGCACAGCCCGGUCCUGGCAGCUCCCUGCAGUCUCCUCCGAGGAGCCCAUGGCCUCCUGUCUCGAGGCACGGCUAGCGGCUGACCUUGACCAUGGGCAAAUGCCUCGUAGUCUGACUAAACUGCACCCAGAAAACAGGAUCAACUCAGAAGACUACUCGCAGCUACCCUUAUUCCGCUUCUGCUCUCGAAUGCCGGGAGCACACAGUGCCAGGGCCGCCCAGCCCAGGGCGCUCUCCGGCUCAGCCUCGUGGGCCAGAUGACGUCCAUGGAAGGCUGAGCAGGAAGCGUGCCAACGUGCAGCUUCCGCCCAUGCUCCUCAAACUUAACUGAACCUGCCACAAUUCCUCAGAACACAGGUUUUGCUUUCUAAGAAGCUCAAUAGCCCUCCACCUGCGAAGCAGUAGAGACCUCAGAGGCUCCACCAGACCCCUGAUCGCAUCAUCAUGCCCUCAGCUCAGGAAACUUCGAGUAGCUCAAGCUGUGGAGGCUAAUUUAAAUGCCACCUUCUGGCCAGGGACCUGUCUGUUCCUGGUAAGGAAGCUCCGUGGACCCCAAGAGCACUGGCAGGACGUGGGGGAGACCCAGACUUGUGCACACGCUCCU